rnacentral:rRNA from 1 species
UACAGAGGUCUCAAGCGUUGUUCGGAUUUAUUGGGCGUAAAGGGUGCGUAGGCGGCAAUGUAAGUUGGAUGUGAAAUCUUGAGGCUUAACCUCAAAAUUGCAUUCAAUACUGCGUUGCUUGAGCGCUGUAGAGGAGAUUGGAAUUUACGGUGUAGCAGUGAAAUGCGUAGAUAUCGUAAGGAAGACCAGUGGCGAAGGCGAAUCUCUGGGCAGCUGCUGACGCUGGGGCACGAAGGCCAGGGGAGCGAACGGG